rnacentral:lncRNA from 1 species
CACUCAUAACAAGAAUUUCUAUGUCUCGCGUGCUUCUUGCCGGCGGAAAGUCGCGCGCGGGACAUUUGGUGCCGAAACCCGGGACAAAAACAUCGCCGGCGCUACGAGAGGCCUCCGUUUCACGGAAGAAAUUCAGAAGCUAUGGAAUACAGGUAAAAAACUCUGAGAGACCAUGGCUAGCCUUGAUCUGCUCCAACUCAGUCCCCUGCCGGACGCGGCAGGUGCCGCUGUGGUUGCUCUGGCAACCCUCGGGCUUUUUCUAUUGACCUUUGAGUUUCUAGCUACCGCCAAACGGCGUCAGAGGUCGCGUGGGAACUGCCCAGCUGUAACAGCAAAGCGGAGAGCGUUGGGGGCAGGGAGAGACAGUCAGUCAGAAACAGAGGAUAGUGAAAAGUUGCAACGAGGAAAGGAUCCUGAUCGAUCUCAAGCACCAGGCCCCCCUGCGGUCUUACCACCGCCAGGGGUAAAAAAUUGGGGAAAGAAUGCCCCGGGUGAGAAGGGAGGAGGUAAAAGGAACACAGUAUUUUGGGAGAAAAACUUUGUCUUAGUGCUUAUGAAAGGUGUAAUUAAGCUCCCGCGCCGGCUCUGGGGAUGCUGCGGCAUCCGGGUGCUGACGCGACA